rnacentral:rRNA from 1 species
GAUGAACGCUGGCGGCGUGCCUAAUACAUGCAAGUCGAGCGAACGGACGAGAAGCUUGCUUCUCUGAUGUUAGCGGCGGACGGGUGAGUAACACGUGGAUAACCUACCUAUAAGACUGGGAUAACUUCGUGAAACCGGAGCUAAUACCGGAUGAUAUUUUGAACCGCAUGGUUCAAAAGUGAAAGACGUUCUUGCUGUCACUUAUAGAUGGAUCCGCGCUGCAUUAGCUAGUUGGUAAGGUAACGGCUUACCAAGGCAACGAUGCAUAGCCGACCUGAGAGGGUGAUCGGCCAGACUGGAACUGAGACACGGUCCAGACUCCUACGGGAGGCAGCAGUAGGGAAUCUUCCGCAAUGGGCGAAAGCCUGACGGAGCAACGCCGCGUGAGUGAUGAAGGUCUUCGGAUCGUAAAACUCUGUUAUUAGGGAAGAACAUAUGUGUAAGUAACUGUGCACAUCUUGACGGUACCUAAUCAGAAAGCCACGGCUAACUACGUG